rnacentral:rRNA from 1 species
AUUGAACGCUGGCGGCAUGCCUUACACAUGCCAGUCGAACGGCAGCACGGGUGCUUGCACCUGGUGGCGAGUGGCGAACGGGUGAGUAAUACAUCAGAACAUGUCCUGUAGUGGGGGAUAGCCCGGCGAAAGCCGGAUUAAUACCGCAUACGAUCUACGGAUGAAAGCGGGGGACCUUCGGGCCUCGCGCUAUAGGGUUGGCCGAUGGCUGAUUAGCUAGUUGGUGGGGUAAAGGCCUACCAAGGCGACGAUCAGUAGCUGGUCUGAGAGGACGACCAGCCACACUGGGACUGAGACACGGCCCAGACUCCUACGGGAGGCAGCAGUGGGGAAUUUUGGACAAUGGGCGAAAGCCUGAUCCAGCAAUGCCGCGUGUGUGAAGAAGGCCUUCGGGUUGUAAAGCACUUUUGUCCGGAAAGAAAUCCUUGGCCCUAAUACGGUCGGGGGAUGACGGUACCGGAAGAAUAAGCACCGGCUAACUACGUG